rnacentral:rRNA from 1 species
AGAGUUUGAUCCUGGCUCAGAACGAACGCUGGUAGCGUGGAUUAGGCAUGCAAGUCGAACGGGAUCCGGAAGGCAGCAAUGUCGGCCGGUGAGAGUGGCGGAAGGGCGAGGAACACGUGGGCAACCUGUCCAGGAGGUGGGGAAAACCUCGGGAAACUGAGGCUAAUACCGAAUGCGGCGCGGAAGGGCAUCCUUCCAGCGCCAAAGGGGGCGAAAGCUCCCCCUCCACGAGGGGCCCGCGCACCAUCGGCUAGUUGGCGGGGUAACGGCCCACCAAGGCUCACGGUUAGCUGGUCUGAGAGGAUGGCCAGCCGCACUGGGACUGAGAUACUGCCCAGACUCCUACGGGAGGCUGCAGUCGAGGAUCAUUCGCAAUGGGCGAAAGCCUGACGAUGCGACGCUGCGUGGAGGAUGAAGGCCUUCGGGUUGUAAACUCCUGUCAUGAGGGAAAAGGAGACCCUACCUAACACGUAGGGGAUUUGAUGGUACCUCAAGAGGAAGGGACGGCUAACUCUGUGCCAGCAGCCGCGGUAAUACAGAGGUCCCGAGCGUUGUUCGGAUUUACUGGGCGUAAAGGGCGCGUAGGCGGCGGAACGUGUCGGAUGUGAAAUCUCCGGGCUCAACCCGGAAAGUGCGUCCGAAACUGUUCCGCUGGAGUCCGGGAGAGGUGGCCGGAAUGCAGGGUGUAGCGGUGAAAUGCGUUGAUAUCCUGCAGAACACCGGAGGCGAAGGCGGGCCACUGGAACGGUACUGACGCUGAGGCGCGAAAGUCGGGGGAGCAAACAGGAUUAGAUACCCUGGUAGUCCCGACCCUAAACGGUGCUCACUCGGGGUGGGGGGAUUCAACCCCCCCCCGUCCCCAAGCGAACGCGUUAAGUGAGCCGCCUGGGGAGUACGGCCGCAAGGCUAAAACUCAAAGAAAUUGACGGGGGCCCGCACAAGCAGAGGAGCAUGUGGCUUAAUUCGAUGCAACGCGAAGAACCUUACCUGGGCUUGACAUCCCCGGCGAUGCCCCUGGAAACAGGGGCGGAGGCUAUCCGGGUGACAGGUGCUGCAUGGCUGUCGUCAGUUCGUGCCGUGAGGUGUUUGGUUAAGUCCACCAACGAACGCAACCCCUUUGGACAGUUGCCAGCGGGUGAUGCCGGGAACCCUGUCCACACUGCCCGUUCACGCGGGAGGAAGGUGGGGAUGACGUCAAGUCAGUACGGCCCUUACGCCCAGGGCUGCACGCGUGCUACAAUGGCCGGUACAGAGGGACGCCAAGCCGCGAGGCGGAGCGAACCCCCCAGAGCCGGCCCCAGUUCGGAUCGGGGUCUGCAACCCGACCCCGUGAAGUCGGAUUUGCUAGUAACGGCGCAUCAGCUACGGCGCCGUGAAUGCGUUCCCGGGCCUUGUACACACCGCCCGUCACAUCAUGAAAGCCGUCUGCACCCGAAGUCCGGCUCUAAGUCGGCCUAAGGUGUGGGUGGUGAUUGGGAUGAAGUCGUAACAAGGUAACC